rnacentral:rRNA from 1 species
UACGUAGGGUGCAAGCGUUAAUCGGAAUUACUGGGCGUAAAGCGUGCGCAGGCGGUUUUGUAAGUCUGUCGUGAAAUCCCCGGGCUCAACCUGGGAAUGGCGAUGGAGACUGCAAGGCUAGAAUCUGGCAGAGGGGGGUAGAAUUCCACGUGUAGCAGUGAAAUGCGUAGAGAUGUGGAGGAACACCGAUGGCGAAGGCAGCCCCCUGGGUCAAGACUGACGCUCAUGCACGAAAGCGUGGGGAGCAAACGAGG